rnacentral:rRNA from 1 species
UACGUAGGGGUGCAAGCGUUGUCCGGAAUUAUUGGGCGUAAAGAGCUCGUAGGCGGUGUGUCACGUCGGCCUGAAAAACCUGCAGCUUAACUGUGGGCGUGCGGUCGAUACGGGCAUCACUGGAGUUCGGCAGGGGAGACUGGAAUUCCUGGUGUAGCGGUGAAAAUGCGCAGAUAUCAGGGAGGGAAACACCCGGGUGGGCGAAAGGGCGGGUUUCUCUGGGGCCCUUUAC